rnacentral:rRNA from 1 species
AGAGUUUGAUCAUGGCUCAGCCUGAACGCUGGCGGCGUGGCUAAGACAUGCAAGUCGAACGGGUGCAGCAAUGCAUCAGUGGCGAACGGGUGAGUAAUGUAUCGCUAACGUACCCUUGGGUCAGGGAUAGCCGGGGGAAACUCCGGGUAAUACCUGAUAAGACCACGAUCCCGCAUGGGAAUGUGUUCAAAGGAGCAAUCCGCGCAAGGAGCGGGCGAUAUCGUAUCAGCUAGUUGGUGAGGUAACGGCUCACCAAGGCGACGACGCGUAGCCGGGCUGAGAGGUCGGCCGGCCACAUUGGGACUGAGACACUGCCCAGACUCCUACGGGGGGCUGCAGUAACGAAUCUUCCGCAAUGCACGAAAGUGUGACGGAGCGACGCCGCGUGUGGGACGAAGCCCUUCGGGGUGUAAACCACUGUCAGGGGUUACCAAGAUCUGAGGAGCCCCAGAGGAAGGCACGGCUAACUCUGUGCCAGCAGCCGCGGUAAGACAGAGGUGCCAAGCGUUAGGCGGAAUCACUGGGCUUAAAGCGUGUGUAGGCGGGCGAUCAAGUACCUUGUGAAAUCCCACGGCUCAACCGUGGAACUGCUGGGUAUACUGGUUGUCUUGAGCCAGCUAGGGGCGAGCGGAACAGACGGUGGAGCGGUGAAAUGCGUAGAUAUCGUCUGGAACGCCGAAGGUGAAAACAGCUCGCUGGGGCUGCGCUGACGCUGAGACACGAAAGCCAGGGGAGCGAACGGGAUUAGAUACCCCGGUAGUCCUGGCCCUAAACGAUGUCCACUAGAUCGCGGGACUUUUGACGGUUUCGCGGUCGAAGCAAAAGUGCUAAGUGGACCGCCUGGGAAGUACGGUCGCAAGGCUAAAACUCAAAGGAAUUGACGGGGGCUCACACAAGCGGUGGAGCAUGUGGUUCAAUUCGAAGCAACGCGCAGAACC